UCCGAGUUGUCCCCGGCAGUCCUCUUAGAGUCCCCGGCAUUACCCGCUGGCAACUAAGAGCAGGGGUUGCGCUCGUUGCGGCACUUAAGCCAACACCUCACGGCACGAGCUGACGACAGCCAUGCAGCACCUGUGCUAGCCCCUUACGGACACGGGCUUUCACCCGCUUUAACUAGCAUGUCAAGCCUAGGUAAGGUGGGAUGACGUCACACGCAAUAACA
rnacentral:misc_RNA from 1 species